rnacentral:rRNA from 1 species
CUGAACUUCGGGAUAAGCCUGGGAAACUGGGUCUAAUACCGGAUAGGAGCCAUUUUUAGUGUGAUGGUUGGAAAGUUUUUUCGGUGUAGGAUGAGCUCGCGGCCUAUCAGCUUGUUGGUGGGGUAAUGGCCUACCAAGGCGGCGACGGGUAGCCGGCCUGAGAGGGUGGACGGCCACAUUGGGACUGAGAUACGGCCCAG